rnacentral:lncRNA from 1 species
AUUUUCUAAGGCAUGCAAAGGCUCAUCAAGUUUCAAAGCCUGUUUCUGGCUAGACCAGAUGCCAAGCGUGGCAGAAUCUGCUCGACCGCGCGAAGGCGAGCAGAAUCCCAAGCAUUGAAGAAUUUUCUAAGACAUGCAAAUGCUCACCAAGUCUCAAAGCCUGUUUAUGGCGAGACCAGAUGCCAAGCGUGCCAGAAUAUGCUCGACCGCGCGAAGGUGAGCAGAAUCCCAAGCAUUGAAGAAUUUUCUACGUCAUGCAAAGGCUCACAACGUCUCAAAGCCUGUUUAUGGCGAGACCAGAUGCCAAGCUUGCCAGGAUCUGCUCGACCGCACGAACGCGAGCAGAAUCCCAAGUAUUGAAGAAUUUUCUAAGGCAUGCAAAGGCUCAUCAAGUUUCAAAGCCUGUUUAUGGCGAGACCAGAUGCCAAGCGUACCAGGAUCUGCUCGACCGCGCGAAGGCGAGCAGAAUCCCAAGCAUAGAAGAAUUUUCUAAGGUAUGCAAUGGCUCAUCAAGUGUCAAAGCCUGUUUAUGGCGAGACCAGAUGCCAAGCUUGCCAGGAUCUGCUCGACCGCGAGAAGGCGAGCAAAAUCCCAAGCAUUGAAGAAUUUUCUACGUCAUGCAAAGGCUCACAAAGUCUCAAAGCCUGUUUAUGGCGAGACCAGAAGCCAAGCGUGCCAGGAUCUGCUCGACCGCACGAACGCGAGCAGAAUCCCAAGUAUUGAAGAAUUUUCUAAGGCAUGCAAAGGCUCACUAAGUCUCAACGCCUGUUUAUGGCGAGACCAGAAGCCAAGCGUGCCAGGAUCUGCUCGACCGCGCGAAGGCCAGCAGAAUCCCAAGCAUUGAAGAAUUUUCUAAAGCAAGCGAAAGCUCAUCAAGUCUCAAAGCCUGGUUAUGGCGAGACNNNNNNNNNNNNNNNNNNNNNNNNNNNNNNNNNNNNNNNNNNNNNNNNNNNNNNNNNNNNNNNNNNNNNNNNNNNNNNNNNNNNNNNNNNNNNNNNNNNNUAAGGCAAGCGAAGGCUCAUCAAGUCUCAAAGCCUGUUUAUGGCGAGACCAGAAGCCAAGCGUGCCAGGAUCUGCUCGACCGCGCGAAGGCGAGCAGAAUCCCAAGUAUUGAAGAAUUUUCUAAGGCAUGCAAAGGCUCAUCAAGUCUCAAAGCCUGUUUAUGGCGAGACCAGAUGCCAAGCGUGCCAGAAUCUGCUCGACCGCGCGAAGGCGACUGAAUCCCAAGCAUUGAAGAAUUUUUCUAAGCCAUGCAAAGGCUCACGAAGUCUCAAAGCCUGUUUAUGGCGAGACCAGAUGCCAAGCGUGCCAGAAUCUGCUCGACCGCGCGAAGGCGAGCAGAAUCCCAAGCAUUGAAGAAUUUUCUAAGGCAUGCAAAGGCUCAUCAAGUCUCAAAGCCUGUUUAUGGCGAGACCAGAUGCCAAGCGUGCCAGAAUCUGCUCGACCGCGCGAAGGCGACCUGAAUCCCAAGCAUUGAAGAAUUUUCUAAGGCAUGCAAAGGCUCACGAAGUCUCAAAGCCUGUUUAUGGCGAGACCAGAAGCCAAGCGUGCCAGGAUCUACUCGACCGCACGAACGCGAGCAGAAUCCCAAGUAUUGAAGAAUUUUCUAAGGCAUGCAAAGGCUCACUAAGUCUCAACGCCUGUUUAUGGCGAGACCAGAAGCCAAGCGUGCCAGGAUCUGCUCGACCGCGCGAAGGCGAGCAGAAUCCCAAGCAUUGAAGAAUUUUCUAAGGCAUGCAAAGGCUCAUCAAGUCUCAAAGCCUGUUUAUGGCGAGACCAGAAGCCAAGCGUGCCAGGAUCUGCUCGACCGCGCGAAGGCGAGCAGAAUCCCAAGCAUUGAAGAAUUUUCUAAGGCAAGCGAAGGCUCAUCAAGUCUCAAAGCCUGUUUAUGGCGAGACCAGAAGCCAAGCGUGCCAGGAUCUGCUCGACCGCGCGAAGGCGAGCAGAAUCCCAAGUAUUGAAGAAUUGUCUAAGGCAUGCAAAGGCUCAUCAAGUUUCAAAGCCUGUUUAUGGCGAGACCAGAUGCCAAGCGUGCCAGGAUCUGCUCGACCGUGCAAAGGCGAGCAGAAUCCCAAGCACUGAAGAAUUUUCUAAGGCAUGCAAAGGCUCAUCAAGUGUCGAAGCUUGUUUAUGGCGAGACCAGAUGCCAAGGGUGCCAGAAUCUGCUCGACCGCGCGAAGGCGAGCAGAAUCCCAAGCAUUGUAGAAUUUUCUAAGGCAUGCAAAGGCUCACUAAGUCUCAAAGCCAGUUUAUGGCGAGACCAGAAGCCAAGCAUGCCAGGAUCUGCUCGACCGCGCGAAGGCGAGCAGAAUCCCAAGCAUUGAAGAAUUUUCUAAGGCAUGCAAAGGCUCACGAAGUCUCGACGCCUGUUUAUGGCGAGACCAGAAGCCAAGCGUGCCAGGAUCUGCUCGACCACGCGAAGGCGAGCAGAAUCCCAAGCAUUGAAGAAUUUUCUAAGGCAUGCAAAGGCUCAUCAAGUCUCAAAGCCUGUUUAUGGCGAGACCAGAUGCCAAGCGUGCCAGAAUCUGCUCGACCGCGCGAAGGCGAGCAGAAUCCCAAGCAUUGAAGAAUUUUCCAAGGCAUGCAAAGGCUCAUCAAGUCUCAAAGCCUGUUUAUGGCGAGACCAGAAGCCAAGCGUGCCAGGAUCCGCUCGACCGCGCGAAGGCGAGCAGAAUCCCAAGCAUUGAAGAAGUUUCUAAGGCAUGCAAAGGCUCAUCAAGUCUCAAAGCCUGUUUAUGGCGAGACCAGAAGCCAAGCGUGCCAGGAUCCGCUCGACCGCGCGAAGGCGAGCAGAAUACCAACCAUUGAAGAAUUUUCUAAGGCAUGCAAAGGCUCAUCAAGUUUCAAAGCCUGUUUCUGGCUAGACCAGAUGCCAAGCGUGCCAAAAUCUGCUCGACCGCGCGAAGGCGAGCAGAAUCCCAAGCAUUGAAGAAUUUUCUAAGGCAUGCAAAGGCUCAUCAAAACUCAAAGCCUGUUUAUGGCGAGACUAGAUGCCAAGCGUGCCAGGAUCUGCUCGACCGCACGAACGCGAGCAGAAUCCCAAGUAUUGAAGAAUUUUCUAAGGCAUGCAAAGGCUCAUCAAGUUUCAAAGCCUGUUUAUGGCGAGACCAGAUGCCAAGCGUACCAGGAUCUGCUCGACCGCGCGAAGGCGAGCAGAAUCCCAAGCAUUGAAGAAUUUUCUAAGGCAUGCAAUGGCUCAUCAAGUCUCAAAGCCUGUUUAUGGCGAGACCAGAAGCCAAGCGUGCCAGGAUCUGCUCGACCGCGCGAAGGCGAGCAAAAUCCCAAGCAUUGAAGAAGUUUCUAAGGCAUGCAAAGGCUCAUCAAGCCUCAAAGCCAAUUUAUGGCGAGACCAGAAGCCAAGCGUGCCAGGAUCCGCUCGACCGCGCGAAGGCGAGCAGAAUCCCAAGCAUUGAAGAAUUUUCUAAGGCAUGCAAAGGCUCAUCAAAACUCAAAGCCUGUUUAUGGCGAGACUAGAUGCCAAGCGUGCCAGGAUCUGCUCGACCGCACGAACGCGAGCAGAAUCCCAAGUAUUGAAGAAUUUUCUAAGGCAUGCAAUGGCUCAUCAAGUCUCAAAGCCUGUUUAUGGCGAGACCAGAUGCCAAGGGUGCCAGGAUCUGCUCGACCGCGCGAAGGCGAGCAGAAUACGAAGCAUUGAAGAAUUUCCUAAGGGAUGCAAAGGCUCAUCAAGUGUCAAAGCCUGUUUAUGGCGACACCAGAUGCCAAGCGUGCCAGGAUCUGCUCGACCGCACGAAGGCGAGCAGAAUCCCAAGCAUUGAAGAAUUUUCUAAGGCAUGCAAAGGCUCAUCAAGUCUCAAAGCCUGUUUAUGGCGAGACCAGAAGCCAAGCUUGCCAGGAUCUGCUCGACCGCGAGAAGGCGAGUAAAAUCCCAAGCAUUGAAGAAUUUUCUAUGUCAUGCAAAGGCUCACAAAGUCUCAAAGCCUGUUUAUGGCGAGACCAGAA